rnacentral:tRNA from 2 species
UAGGACAUGGUGUAGUGUGGUAGCACGGAGAUUUUUGAGUUCUCAGGAUUGGGUUCAAAUCCUAGAGUCCUAG